GCUCAUGCUAGGCUUAAUCGAGACUCUUUGACUUGGUGCACGCAAUUAGACACAGGAGUCUCCUCGACUUGUGCAUGGGCGUGCAUGCAAUUAGACACGACCUUGUCAUAUGUAGCUGUGUUUCAGUGUCCAUGCAUGCUCCAUUCCUAGCAUUUUCUUGAAAGGCCAAUAUAGCUUGGCAGUUUCUCUGGAAAGAAUCAGCAUCAAACAAUGUUCUUGACCAGAUGUUUUGAUAUUGCUUACGCCGCACAAUAUAAUACGGAUCGAUAGUAUGACCAGCAUUCUGAAAGAGCAUCCAGCAGGGUUCGAGCCUGAGUGGGUGCGUGGCCACAGCCUCCUUGACAGUAAACCUCUCUGGACUCUCAGCUUUGCUAUUUCAGUCACAUGAACUUUCUUAUCUUUCAGCUUCAGCAGAUUGAUCUCUAAACCUGGAAACUUCUGCAAGAACAUAUACCUCAUGAUUGGUUGCGUUGACCAGCCCUCAACUUCUGAUUGGAUAUCUGCAGGCUUUGUUGCAUGUAUGGAGAUUGGAGAAGCAGGGAAGCCGCGUUUGCGGCAGGUCAGGCCGAGCCAUGCGCCGGUUGCUGAGGCAACCAAUCAUCGCUAAAUUGCACAUGAUACAACUGCAGCUUUAGCUGGUUUACCUGCAUCAUGUCUGGGUUCAUCAGCGUCCAGUUUUAAUUAACUUGUGGUCUUUUGCCAUGUGCGGUAAUGAAAAACGAAAGGGCCUAAAGUAGAGUAGAUUAACAUUUCGGUGUCGCCUCAAUUUGCAGAAAGAAGCUUCAGGCAGAGAGUCUCUCACUGCUCCUCGUGUCUACUGAUUGUCAUGUUGCUCGCCAGCUCCUAUGCUCUCCUCCAAAGUCCAAACCCGGGCCCAAAGGUGUUCAACAAAGAGAAGUAACAUUUACGAGCUCACACAAGUCACAUGAGAUGAGAUUCAAGAGAAAGAGAUAUAUGUUACGUGGCAUUCCUUAAGUUUAGGGACUUAGAGAUGCAUUUUCAAUGUUCGUGGAUAUAAGUGACAUCUCUUGACAAGUUCAGUUUCAUUCAUGUAUUGAAUUGAUAUUAAAAUUAGAUGACCUAAUCUCAUGCCACCAUAGGGGCGGGCCCACUAUG
rnacentral:lncRNA from 1 species